UACGGAGGAUGCAAGCGUUAUCCGGAAUGAUUGGGCGUAAAGCGUCCGCAGGUGGCUGUGUAAGUCUGCUGUUAAAGAGUGAGGCUCAACCUCAUAAAGGCAGUGGAAACUACAUGGCUAGAGUGCGUUCGGGGCAGAGGGAAUUCCUGGUGUAGCGGUGAAAUGCGUAGAGAUCAGGAAGGACACCGGUGGCGAAAGCGCUCUGCUAGGCCGCAACUGACACUGAGGGACGAAAGCUAGGGGAGCGAAUGGG
rnacentral:rRNA from 1 species